UCGUGCAAAUCAUGUUGGGGUGUUCUGGAGCAGGACUGCUGCCUCUGCCCCCACACUGCAGCUGCCAUGGGGCUGUCCCUCACUGACCCUCACUGUUCCUGCUCCAUCCAGAGCAUUCCCAGCUGUGCUGAGCAGGACCUGGUGCUCUCAGGGAGAGCACACUCUGAGUGUUGGAUGCUGAUUUGGUCCCAGGCUGUGGAAGCUCCUGAGAGACUGAUUCUUUCUUGGAAUGUCCACAUGGACACAUCCAAUGGAGAAGAAAGCACAGUCUGGCUCCUCAGGUUGGGGGAAGGCUGGUUCACAAGUAACCAUGGCAACCAGGCUGUCACUGGGAGCACCAAGACAUUUUCAUACCAAAAAUAAAAUAGCCCAAACACACAACAGACAUUCCCACUCCAGCCUCCUUGGAGAUCCUACCUCAGUUUUGUUCCUCAGGGAUCCUGGCAGCAGCAGCAGGUGAGGAGAUUUUUCCUUCCUCUAUCUCCUGCACCAGCAGCAAACAUUGUUUCUGAUGAUAAACUUAAUAAUGGCUUCCAAUUAAAAGGGGAUAUUUGAGUUUUGAGUUGAAGAAACACUGAAGAUAAUUUUAUGUUCACCUUAAAAAGUUUCCAUCUGUCACACACUUCCCAAGCCAGUGUGCUCACAUCAAUAUUUAUAUCAGCCAGCCCAGUGUUUUCACAGAAAAGCCAUUAAUACAACAUAUCAGCUCUGGUGACAAGUUACAUUUUACAUUGCUGUCAACAAACAAAGAUGUUCUUUGUCUGCAAACUCCCCUUUUUUCCCUUUUCUUAAUCAAUCGUUAGGUUUGAGUUUUGAAGGAAAUGUGUAGAUGUGCUUUCCAAUGUUUGCUGGAGACAAGACAGAUGGAGCUUGUAGGAGCUGAUGGAAGGCACUGAUUAAUUUUCCUAGGAAAUAAAAUAACAGUUUUGGUGCAGGUUCUUUGCUUGGCAUGAUGAAACUCGCCAAAUUCCUGAGGAGAACCAGGCAACUUCAGGAGGUGAGUCCCCAAAAUAAAGAUUUAAUUUUGAAAACGCCUCAGAGUAUUGAUCACAGCGCUGUUGUUCCGGUUUAAUGCCAUUUGUACUUGUUCCCAUUGUUAAGGGGACAGGGGCCAGAUCAAAGCCAUAACACUUGGGAGUCUCGUGUCACUGCAUUGUGGAGGCACUGCACACUUCCAGGUGUCCCUGUCCUGCUCAGAGGGGCGUCCCUAGGGCUCUGCCACACCCCUCACACCCCUCUCCACAUUCACCCCUGCAACUUGACAUGAGAUCUUACACGAGCCCUCUGGAAACCAGUGUUUGGAUGCACUCUGUGAACCAUGGCACUGUUUCUUUUUCUUCCCAUGCCAAUGACUCUGUUAAGAGGUUUGUCAGUGUGUAUGGAAGUAAAACAUUUGAUAUAAGUGGAUUUUUUUUUUCAAACAAACAUCAGUUUAAAAAGCUACUCAUGCCAGUGGAACUAGUCAACUCCAGUGAUUUUAGUUGGAUUUAAGCAGCAGUAGAAGAAAAAUGGCAUAUCUGAACCAAACAUGUCAGCCCUGCAGCUGGUUAAUGGAACUGUAACUGUGUAACGAUCCCCUGCUAAUACCCAAUUUUUAAGCCACUUAAAAUCAGAUAAAAUAGCUCCAUUCCACAAAAUAUCCAUUGGGUCAACUGUGCCUUAUUGUUCAGAAUUCCCUUUUUCAGUCCUUGUGGAGCUGUCCAGCUGUCAGAUCUGUUAUAGCAGCCAAAUGACCCGCACACACCUGCCCUUAUUCCUUAUCAUGGGCUCCAAGGGAAGUUGGGAGCACCUGGGAAUUGUCCUCAGCUUCCACUGAAUUUUGGAGCUGAUAACAGACUCCCAUUUCUCUGAAGGAGGAGUGUGUCAUCAUUGGUGUUCUGCCUGGUUCUGUUUAAUUGCUCUUUAUUAAGAGCAUCCUCAGGCAUGGGAUAAUCCAUACAGAGACCAUGAUCCAUCCUGACUGAGCUGCAUCCCAUGGCUUGGGAGGAACCUGCUGCAAGGCUCAGCCAGGUAAGACUCCCAAAGGUGCAGAAAAACCAAAUGCAAGGUGGUCUCCUCAUGAGGGUAAAGGAGCUCAUGUGUUCAGUUUUCUGUUCAUCAUUUUCCUCUCCUAUUCUGCCAUCUGGUUCAUCUCUCAUCUCGUUUGGAAAAGCAAGGGACAAAUGGAAACACACCCAGAGAUAAUAACACUGCUCUGACAGUGCCAUGAUGGGAUAAUGAUCACCCUCACUGUGCUCACUCAUUUGGCUCUCAUUUGAAGGUCAUGGCUUGGAGUAUCUCUGUGAACAGAGCUAUGGCCAAAGUAGGGGGGAAAAUUCCAGACUGGGAUCAAAAUGUAGAACUCUUAAAAAUCCUCUGCAAGCCCUAGGAGUCCAUAUCUGUCCACAUACAAACUGUAGUUGUAAUUUGUGUAGUCUGAAGGUCUGGGCAGUCCAUGAGCUGUUGUUCCAGCUCAUGUAGACUGCAGGCAUCUCAGUGGUUCAUCCAGCUCCAGCUGACUUUAAAUUGGGAGCUGGUGACCUCCCAGAAAUGCACUGGGGAUUCCAGCUUUACUGAGCUCAAUGUUAACUCCCUCUGACUCUGAAGGCAUUGGGAUCAUGUGGCCAGUGCCCAAUAUGGUGACACUCAGAAAUAAAAAAAAAAACAACAAAGGGAAAUCACCUUUUUUUGCCUUGUCUACUUCCAGUUUUACAGCUGCAGCAGAGUAAGGGAAUGUUGCAUUUAUGCUCUUCAGCUGGAUGUACCAUUGGAUAUUUUGGUUAUCAGUGUGGAAAAAGCCAAUUUGAAGUAAUCUACUGAAAAAAUAAUUUUGAAGGUGUUUUUAAUGUCUUGCUUUAAGAACAAGAGUGGCUGAAGCUUGGAUUCAGGUGGCAAAUGCAAUUUCCUGUCCUGAAUGGCAAUGUCAGUGUGGUAAUUAGACCGUGAAGGACAAUACUAAUUUUAAGGUGUAUGUGGGUGGAGAAAAAAAAAUAUUGAAAUAAUCAACAUGUGAAAUCAUAAGUGAAUCCAGUUUCCUUGACAACUUCUACUGUGCAGCCUGAGUAUCCCUGAGAAUUCCACUGGGAAGCAAUGGGCAGCAGGUACUUACUGGAGGUGGGAAUGCUUUUGAGGGACAGCAGUGGGAAACUCUGGUUCAAACCUGUUUUACGUCUGCUUUUGUUCUUCCCAUCGAGCUCUGUGUCAUUGUUUUCACUUCCCAUUGAAUUGUUGGUGGUUCCUUUCCCUGGCAGAGGUGGGUAUGGCACUGGGAAGAGCUGUGGAUAAGUUUGUUGAAGUCCCUUUUUAUUUUCACUGAGAAAUUGAAUGGUCAUUAAAUUGUGUUACAUAAGUAGUUACAGCAGAAGAGCCUUUGGUUAGAGAUAGACCAAAACCAGUUUAAAAAGCAGUAGAAAAGUAUUUUGCUUUGGUGUUUCAGAUGCAGCAGGCCCUACAACCAUGCUCUGGACUGAUGUAUUCAGUCCCUCUGCUUCAUGCACUAAGUCAUCCCAACUGAAGCAUCAAAGAGCUCACCAGCCUUAUAAAAAAGAGGAAGUGUUGGGUUGUUUAGCUUUUCCCAUCCACCAUUUCAAUCUUUGCAUGAUAUCUUCAAAGAUUUUCUUUUUAAUAAAAAUGGAAUUGCUCUGAAAUCCCAUGAGAGGUCCUUUCAGGGAGAAAAUAAAAUUGCAAGACCCUAAAAAUCACAAGGAAUGACAAUGAAAUUGGGUUACAGAUUUAAUUGGCUUUAGUUGGAAAAACCAGCUACUGGAAAAAAACCUCAAAUGUAGCUAAACAAUAGUGCAGGUCAAAGGGAGUUCCUGAGGAGGGGGGGAAGGAUUAUAGGGGAUCAGGAAAGGAACAAGGGAUGUUUAAACCCAAAGAGGAAAAACAGAAUAAUUUGCUUUAUAUAUCUCCACAUAAACACAAUUUUAUAUAUGUAUUUAUAUGUGUAGAUAAAUACAUAAAUUCUAUUGCCCGCUGUAAAUCUUUUUAGAUUUCUUGUACAAAAUAUCAUUAUUGGGAUAAAAAGUUGAAAGAUAUUCUUUAAUACUCUCUCUUCCAUUGCCUUUUCUAUCUGUGGUACUUGCAACAAAAGUGGAGCUAAUUCUGUUUCAUGUUUGGGCACACAAUUUGACCAGAGGAAACUGCCACAGCACUGAUGCUGCAGGGUUUUUAGAUGAGUGACCCAGUGUAAUUCCCAGGGGCUAAACACCCUCUGGAACCCAAUGCCAGCUCAGGCCAGAAGGGCAAACCUGGCACAUGGGCCCAAAAUCACUUUCCUGUGCUGGUUGUUGACAGCAGCAAAGCCUCUACAGGAGCUGGGUGUGCUGAAAAGGACAACUUAUUGUGAUUCUAGAGAACUGUGAUCAGGAUUUACAACUCCACUGCAUCCUUGAUAUAACCAACACCAGAUGGUAAAUGAAGGAGUUUGUGAGGUAUUUCUUUAGUUUCUCCAAGGUGCUGGUACCAGAUCUAAUGCCAGCUGCUCAUCUUAAUAUGAACACUUGCUGGUGUGUAAACUCAGCCUAAUCCCCUCAAAUAGCCACUUCUUUACUGUAAUUGAUAUGUGACCUUUGUGAGCAGAGUAUCUGAGAACACAGGGAGGUUAAUGUAUUCUGUCUUUUCUCACCAGUGUGAGGCACUGAAGUAAUAAUCUCUCGUUAGAGAAGGGAACAGAGGGCACACGUCAUGUCCAAUAUUUUACCUGUGGCAGAGCUGUGAACUAACCCAGCUCUCCAGAGCCAGGCUCAGAGCUGGAGCAAAGAGGGCUCCUUGCUCUCACCAGACCAUCCAUGGGAUGAAUUGCAGUGCACAUUUAGAAGGCACUGCAAGCUUCUGAAUCCAGGAUACAAAUUUUCCUCUGCAGAUUUUGCCUUCAUUGCUCUUGCUCAGCUGCCAGGGUGGUGGUGUCGUGUUGUAGAGUUCUGGGAUUGCUGGAGGAAAGCAGUGCUUUGGUGCUUGGGGCAAAGACAGCAGAGGCUUUUCCUGAAACUAUUCUGUGUGGCUCUGCGUCAGAGAAAACGCCUCUCUCAUGACAGAGGCAGUGCUGAAACACUUUGGGUGAGAAAGGGUGUUUAUUUGAGGACACGCCUCCAAGGCUUUCAGAAGCAUAGCAGAGGCAUUCCCAUGUCUUACAGCACACAAGGUCAUCCACUGCACUCACAGCAAUGCCAUUUAACUUUGCCUUUCUCUAACCCCAGUGCCACUCCUAAUAAAGGCCACAGCCUUGGAAUCAGGAUGAACCUGGAGCCUGAAGGAGCCAGGCACACUCAGGAGAGGGCAAGUAGCUGCCUUGCUGGGAUUUGGCCCACAUAACUCUGGACUCAUACUUUGGUUUUGGUUUUCCUUAUUGUAGCUGACCGAGAGGCUCACAGGCGAUCACGGGGCCCUCCGAGGCAGACUCAUUUCAGGUGCAACGUGGAUCCACAUCACUGAUCAUCCAAAAGAUAAGUUGGGGGCCACAGCCUGAAGAUGGGAGAGUAGCUCCAACUUAUGGUUGGAGCUGCCCUGCCCUGGCAGGUAGUCACAGUUAGGUAUAACAGUUAUAGAAAUUUUACUGUACAUCUGUCUUCUAUGGGAUUUUGGGUAGUAAAUUUAUCAGCCCAGAGUGGGGACAAGUCCGAGCUGUCAGAUAGCCACUCGUUGACCCUUCCUGCUGUCUCACUGGUCCCCGAGGCUGCUGAUUUCC